rnacentral:rRNA from 2 species
GGAUCAAUAUUUCGGUCAUGCCGUUGGUAUGCACUGUUAUCAUUGAUUUCUCACCUUCUAAAGAACCGUAAUGCCAUUAAUUUGGUGUUACGGGGAAUUAGGGCUGUUACCUUGAAAAAUUAGAGUGUUUAAAGCAGGCUCACGCUUGAAUACAUUAGCAUGGAAUAAUGAAAUAGGACAUCCGAUUCUAUUUUGUUGGUUUCUAGGAUCGAUGUAAUGAUUAAUAGGGAUAGUUGGG